UAAAAUAUCUUAUAGUCAGCAAGAACCGAUUCAAAUCUGUUUGGCUUUACUCUUAGGAAUGUUCUCUUUCUGUUAAAAGGACUAAGAUCGUUCCUGGGCUGCCGACUCCAUGGAGGAAAAGAGUUCUGGAUAAAGAGAAACUUUGUACAUGUAUAAUCAUUUCCAGGAUACUCACAUGCUACACAGAAUUGAAAGAUGCCCAAUUUUGCUAUUAAAAAAAUGAAGUUAUAAUUUUCUAGUGCAGAGUGACUGCACAGGAAGACUAUCAUAAGCAAUAUACCAAAGCGCUAACAGAAGCAUACUUUAUUAAAGAAACAAACACUGGAAAUGUGGAUUCUUUUUGAGAAAUAAUCUUCCUCUUCACUGAUUGAUAGAUAUGAAGAAACCAGAUUUCUAUACCAACUAAUGGAAAAUUAACCACUGGUGAGUCUAGUUCCAAUCCCAAAUCAAGGACACACAUGUUUGUUAGUACUGAUUCUGUCCACUCAGUUGAAACAUUCCCAUUCCUGAACGAGAUUAGCUACUGAAAUUCUAAAAAUGCUCAUUUUCCUGGGUAUCCUCUUUUGUCAAAGGGUUUAGUAUUUAUUAUGUUUGGUAUUUACAGUAAUUGACAUUUACGAAAAGUGGAGAGACCAGAGAAAACACUCCAUAGUAUGUAAGACCUUUAUCUCUUUCUUUUUAAAUGUUCUUAGUAGACUGUAAUACUAAGCA